ACAGAGAAAAAUAAAUUUCUUCCUAUACUACACUUAGAUUUCUUUCCCUCUGUGGAUGACUCUCCUAGUUUUCCCAGUAGCCAAGUAUGGUGAAAAGGAGAAGGUGGUUUAGAAGAAGCAGUUUCCUGAUGGAAUUCCUCAGGAUGAUCAUUUAUCUGAUAGGCAGAGCUGAAGCAAUUUUUCUUCCUAAUGGGAUAGAAGCUGUCCCCUGAUUCUGGCAGAACAGCAGCAUUGGGAAUUUGCCUUCCUUCAGGGUUUGCUAUUAAAGCAAACGUACAUGUAAAGUAUCAAGGAGUGGCUCUGUGGAUAUAGUUUGCUUUUUUUUUUUUCUUCUUAUUUUCCAUUUUAUUUUUUAUACUGUAUUUUAAAACAAAUCUUUGCUUCGAAGCACUUCUUAGGAGUUUAGAGAAUGCUUUUCCCCAAGUUACUGAGCAAACAGGAAAAGAAAAAACAUCAGCAGUGGCAAAACUUUUAGUGUCAUGAAAGCAGACCAUGGAUGUUCAGCCAUUUAGGAUUCAAGAGAUUGUGUCAAGUAUUCCCUGAGCCUUGGUAUUCAAAAAUCUCACAUUCUGUGACCUGGAAUUUAACAUACCUCUGUUCCAAUGCCAAGAUGGGAAGAGGCUAUCCCUACAUACAAACAAGGUUAAAUUCCAGGCUUCACUGCUUAUAGUGAAUGUUUGCAAGCCUCACGUCCCCUUGCACUUAUUUGUUUAGUGCUGGAAAUGCAAACAAAGACAGGUUGGUCAUGGGAGGAGGAGCAGAGGCAUAGCUGAGCUCAUUCCCAGUCCCUGGCCAUCAUUGCAAGCCUCUUUGUUCUGGAAGGACCACACUCUUAUGCCAAUACUGCUAAGACUAAAGAACAACCUGGUUUGCAACAUUCUCUAAACAUUUGGUAGAAGGAAGCCCCUUCCUGCUUCACGUCAGCAUAUCCCAUCUUGUUGCUGUCUUCUUGCCAAUCAUGUUGUAGGGUGUAUGGAAACUGUUGAAUCAUUGUCUGAACCUCUGAUUGAUCACCAGAGGCGAGCAAUGAGUCAGCCACAGGAGCAAAGGUGAAGGCAAUUCUCCUGUGCUGCCAGAAGGGGUGGAGCCUGGCUGCACCUCUCCUACACCCAUUUAAGAGCUGACUACCAGGGAAAAGGAUCUCUUCUGGAGACCCCCUCUCUGGAGUUUUGCAGUAAGCCCAGGAUGCAGGGGGAUUCCUGGACCCCUUCCUUAUGCAGAAAAGGCAGUUGGAGGGGAGAUCAAGCAACACUCUGCUCCUCAGAGAAGAAAAGCUAUGAUCUGCUGCUGUGAAUAAUGCAGUGAGGAGCCAAAAGGAUGAGGAGGAACAGAGUUGCACAUAAGGUGGUGCCCCACAGAACCUCAUUUUCAUCUACAGAUGCCCAUGCAGACUCUGUCUGUAAAAGGAAAAGCUGCUCAUGUGAGUUUCUAGCAUACACUACCAUAAACUCCAGGAGAAACAGUCACAAAACCCUACUAACAAGUAGGCUGGUCCUCAGCUCACUGAGCUGCUUUUGUUACAGAAGACUGAAGCAAAUCCAAGGCUUGGGCUCUCUUCCUGAAGCGUUUCAUGGCUUAAAAAGAUAACUUAUUUUCUAGUAUAAAUAUGACUCUGUACAGUGGUAACAGCUUAUUUAUGCAGAAGACAUUUCCAAGAACAACAAAGGGCUGUGCAACAAGCCCUUGUAACCACAAACUUUCUGUGUUUUAAGUGCAAAAGGCUUUUCUUGAUGUUUUCUCCUCCAGAACAUAACUGUGUGUAUGAAUAUCCAAGCACUCUCAGCUCUGCUCUUUAUUACCCAUCCUCCCCCCCUCUCCCCUAAGCCUCCCUGUUCCCUACCCUCACGGUCUUUCUCUUUCCCAUCUUAUGGUCAGUUUAUACGCACAGGUUAUCUUCCAUGUUCACGGUUCAUCUCUCAGUGCUGCCCUGUCCCUUCCCCCCCUCCUCACAUAGUCUGUUCUCCUUGCUUAGGCAGGCUCACUAAUCUCCCUGUAGCUCCCCAAAUCCCUCAUUCUCCUUACCUAAAGGGGACCACACUAUCUAUCUGCAGUCUCCCUGUUCUCCUCCGCUGUCCCCCAAAUGCCAGCUUCAUGCACACUUUCUCAGUGCCCUUCCCAGCUACCCAUGCUGCACAAAGCUCCUUGCCUCUACAGUGUAAAUCUUUCUUCUGCUUCUGAAUUUUGUGUACUUUUCCCCAGGAUCUUCUGUCUCCUACUUUUCUGCACUCUGC